GUUUAGGUAGUGCACUAUAUAUGGAAUAGGGUGUAUAGGUAGUGCACUAUAUAUGGAAUAGGGUGUAUAGGUAGUGCACUAUAUAGGGAAUAGGGUGUAUAGGUAGUGCACUAUAUAGGGAAUAGGGUGUAUAGGUAGUGCACUAUAUAUGGAUUAGGGUGUAUAGGUAGUGCACUAUAUAGGGUGUAUAGGUAGUGCAGAGCAGCGAGGGAGGAGGUUGACUGUAUGUUCGACAGGUUAAUUGUUACUGUGAUGUGUUAUUGAUGUGUGAAUCCUAGGGCUCCUUUCAAAAUGAUACAACUAAAUAAUACACCACUGCUAUUUUAUUUAUGAAAUCACAACCAGCUUUUUCCUCUGCCAGGACAUUAUCCCUCCAACCUUCUGCCAGGACAUUAUCACUCCAUCCUUCUGACAGGACAUUAUCCCUCCAACCUUCUGCCAGGACAUUAUCCCUCCAACCUUCUGUCAGGACAUUAUCCCUCCAACCUUCUGUCAGGACAUUAUCCCUCCAACCUUCUGCCAGGACAUUAUCCCCCCAUCCUUCUGCCAGGACAUUAUCCCCCAUCCUUCUGACAGGACAUUAUCACUCAAUCCUUCUGACAGGACAUUAUCCCUCCAACCUUCUGCCAGGACAUUAUCCCUCCAACCUUCUGUCGGGACAUUAUCCCUCCAACCUUCUGUCGGGACAUUAUCCCCCCAUCCUUCUGCCAGGACAUUAUCCCUCCAACCUUCUGUCGGGACAUUAUCCCCCCAUCCUUCUGCCAGGACAUUAUCCCUCCAACCUUCUGACAGGACAUUAUCCCUCUAACCUUCUGACAAGACAUUAUCCCCCAUUCUUCUGUCGGGACAUUAUCCCUCCAUUCUUCUGUCGGGACAUUAUCCAUCCAUCCUUCUGACAGGACAUUAUCCCCCAUCCUUCUGUCGGGACAUUAUCCCCCGUCCUUAUGUCGGGACAUUACCCAUCUAACCUUCUGUCGACAUUAUCCCAUCUAACCUUUCGUCGGGCCAUUAUCCCUCUAACCUUCUGUCAGGACAUUAGCCCUAUAACCUUCUGUCAGGCAAUUAUCCCUCCAUCCUUCUGUCGGGACAUUAUCCCCCCAUCCUUCUGUCGGGACAUUAUCCCCCACAACCUUCUGUCAGGACAUUAUCCCUCCAUCCUUCUGUCGGGACAUUAUCCCAUCUAACCUUUCGUCAGGCCAUUAUCCCUCUAACCUUCUGUCAGGACAUUAGCCCUAUAACACUCUGUUAGGACAUUAUCCCCCAACCUUCUGUCAGGACAUUAUCCCUCUGACCUUCUGUCGGAACAUUAUCCCUCUGACCUUCUGUCGGAACAUUAUCCCUCUGACCUUCUGUCGGGACAUUAUCCCUCUGACCUUCUGUCGGGACAUUAUCCCUCUGACCUUCUGUCGGGACAUUACCCCUCUGACCUUCUGUCGGGACAUUACCCUCUGACCUUCUGUCGGGACAUUACCCCUCUGACCUUCUGUCGGGACAUUACCCCUCUGACCUUCUGUCGGGACAUUACCCCUCUGACCUUCUGUCGGGACAUUACCCCUCUAACCUUGUCAGGACAUUAUCCCUCUGACCUUCUGUCAGGACAUAUUUUCCUUUAUUCUGUCUUUGUUGAAAACAUGUCCCUGUUAGUCUCCACCUGUUGUUUACCAAGCAGGUGACCAAUAGGAUGUGAUUGGAUUUCGCCACGUUAUUUACCUUUUCCUGUGUGCGUGGGGAAAUUACACAGUUCUCCAGUUUUGUGAUUUGCACAAGAUAAUGACUACGAUGUUGCUGUUGAUCCCAAUGGGUGUUAAUAAUGACAUGUUAUUGUAGCUGCGUUCUGUUUUGAGCAUUGUGUAUUUAUCAGUGUUAGUUUGUCCGUUGGUCUGCAAUGAAAAACCCAGUCUACGUCCUAAAUGACACGGCCCUGGCCAAAGGUCGUGUGUGUGUGUGUGUGUGUGUGUGUGUGUGUGUGUGUGUGUGUGUGUGUGAGAGAGAUCAUUGUUUGCAUGGGUCCAAAGUGUGUGCACUGAACUUGGUCAAGUUCUGGGCUUUUGGCGGGUGAAAUAAAUGUAGUGUGGUCUUUAAGUUUGGACUGCUUAUUUGUAAUCAGAAGGUUUGGUAUCAUGUCAUAUUUAAUUGAUUGGUUUGGUAGCAUGUCCUGUCAUAUUUAAUUGAUUGGUUUGGUAGCAUGUCCUCAUAUUUAAUUGAUUGGUUUGGUAUCAUGUCCUGUCAUAUUUAAUUGAUUGGUUUGGUAUCAUGUCCUGUCAUAUUUAAUUGAUUGGUUUGGUAUCAUGUCCUGUCAUAUUUAAUAGGUGGUUUGUGGUGUAUACGGCAGGAAUCAGAGGAUUAAACAGGCCAUAAUAUUGAAUGAACCUGAUUCUGUUGUCUGUCUGCAACCUUCUCAAAGCAUUUUCCAAGACCGCUUCUAUCCAGAACAUUGUAAUGGUGAAAAUAUAUCCAUGUUAUAAGUGUAGCUGCUACAUUCCCUUCCAACAAUAAAAUGGCAGAGGAAA